UUAGGAAUCUUCCACAAUGGGCGAAAGCCUGAUGGAGCGACGCCGCGUGGGGGAUGAAGGCCUUAGGGUUGUAAACCUCUAAAAGAGGGACGAUAAUGACGGUACCUCUUGAAUAGCACCGGCUAACUCCGUGCCAGCAGCCGCGGUAAUACGGAGGGUGCAAGCGUUAUCCGGAAUCACUGGGCGUAAAGGGCGCGUAGGCGGUCUGUUAAGUCCGAUGUUAAAUCCCGGGGCUCAACCCCGGAUAAGCGUUGGAUACUGGCAGGCUAGACGGUUGGAGAGGCGAGUGGAAUUACCAGUGUAGCGGUGGAAUGCGUAGAUACUGGUAGGAACACCCAUUGCGAAGGCAGCUCGCUGGACAACACGUGACGCUGAGGCGCGAAAGUGUGGGGAGCAAACC
rnacentral:rRNA from 1 species